CGCCUCUUCACGCUCAUUCCCCUCGCUCACCACUCCCCCAAAUGCCUUGCCCGCAGCGGUGACACACAUCCCCCCUCACCUGCGUCGGUGACUCAGCCACGUCGCCGCCCUUCUCCUCAGGCGUUGCCGCCUCGCCUUCUCGUCCGCGCUGCCUCUCCCUCUCGCCCGCAUCCUCUCCGCCACGCUCGAGCCAAAGUUGGUUGUUUUAGCGAGGUCGAGUAGGAGCGUGAGGAACGUGUGCACGGCGGCCUUGUCCUGCUCGACGACGGCGGCGACGGACGCUAGCGCUCCUCGUCGCCAUCGACCUGCAAGGAGGAGCGCCAUCUUGGACGCUGCUGGUAUUCCGUCGCUGUUACGUGUUCGCCGUCACCUGCUCCCAGGUCACCCCGGAAGUCGAGCUCCCCACGCUCGACCUGCCAGAUGUACUGUGGCCAAGAACUGCUCUACCGCAGGAGUAGAUUGGAAAGGCUGUUGUUGCUCCUGAACGAUGCGGCUGCUGCUGCCACUACCUCUCAUCGAUUCGGGCAUGGCAAAGACCACUCAGUUGCACUACUCCAUGUGUAGCUCACUAAACUUGGAUAGCACAUUCUUGGAGUGGAUCUGCAUUUCAAAAAGUUUACAAGUGGGAGUACAUGGAGUACUACAGUUCAAAUCGAGGAGAAGAUGGUGCAUGCUCCGUGAUGAUGCCGCCGUCACCUACGACUUCCUCGACCACCACCACCACCACCACGACUUCCUCGAACAUGGUGAGUACUGAGUACUCCUCCAAUGCUUGUACUCCUAUCAAUGUUUACUGCUGUAAUCAUGGGGUACUUAGCUGCUGUAAUCAUGGCCGGAGUAAUGCAACAUUAGUUGGUAAGAAACAAUGUCAGUAUGAAACCUCUCUACGGUAACUAUUUUUUCUGUCAGGAACAGUACAAGGUUUCAGCUUUAUUUGCCCCAUUCCAUGUUUUGAAAUCAUUACCAAAUCGUAUGAAGCAUGGUAACAAUGUUCAAGCUGA